rnacentral:rRNA from 1 species
UGGUGGAGUGAUUUGUCUGCUUAAUUGCGAUAACGAACGAGACCUUAACUGUUAAAUAGCCCGUAUCGCUUUGGCGGUACGCUGGCUUCUUAGCAGGACUAUCGGCUCAAGCCGAUGGAAGUUUGAGGCAAUAGCA